AAUGCAUCUGGAGGGCUCUAGGACCGCUCCUCCGUCCUAGCUCCCACUGUGGCUCCGCCCCUCCCACGUCUCUCCGUUCUCUACUGCUGCUGUUGCUGCGUUCACAGUGGAAGCCGGAGGAAGAGGGCCUUCAGCAUGGCCUGUCAGUCCCCUGUCUCUGUGAGCCCGCAUCAGCACAGACAGCUGCAGCACACUACUGUAUAGGUGUGGAGAAGUGCGGAUCAUAUUUAUGCUGAUUGCUGGCCUGCCUGUGCUGCGCGUGAACGCAAUGCUCCCUGCCACACACCACCGCAUACAUCACGCCAUGGCUCGGACAGAGACCAGGACCGGGAUGCAGAUGCUCAGCAACCCCAGGAAGAGGGUGUGGCCGGAGAUAGCCCCAGAGCCCCUGGAGCUCAAGAACACCAAGCUCCCUGCCGUGCCCAGUCACCAGCCGUGAUUCCUGUGGUGCCCCCCAGAUGUGAUGCUGCUGCUCCUGCUCCAGCUGCAGCAAUUGGGGGACCACCACAGGAGGAAGGAAGGUGACUGGGUGAGAGACUUGCAGAACAACGUGGGCUUCUGGAGAGGCUUUGUCGCCAGCACCGCUGCCAGGAUCUCUGGAUGCGAAGAUGGAUGUCACUCAUACAUGGCACCAUGCGUAACAUUCAUUCAAGCAUCCACCUGGUGGCAGCUGUUUGAGCCGUGCCUCACCGAUCAGAGGGCGCUGCUGCAGGUCCAGUCCCUGGUCCUGCUGCUGCUCCCCCUCCACCCCCACCCCCUGUAUCUCCUCAACAGCACAGAGGGAGGGGGCGUGGAAGGGUACAAGGUCCUGUCCGAGAGGACAAGCGUAAAUGUCCCCAGCUCCAGUCUGUGUCACUUUCCAACUGACACUGGCCUCUUUGCCCAUUUUAUACUGGCAGAUAACUUCGCCCAAUUCACGCUUCAGGUAUGACUCUGUCCAUUACCCAGCAAUGGGACUGACUCCCAAACAACACCUCCCAUUGUUUAGACCAUGCUGCAAUUUCGUCACUGAGGGGUGCCAUAUCUAUCUUUUAAAGUAAAGCAAUAAAUCCAGCAGCACUCUGA